GCAAGUCGAGGGGUAACGAUAGUGCUUGCACUAGUCGACGACCGGCGCACGGGUGCGUAACGCGUAUAGAACCUACCUUAUAGUAAAGGAUAGCCCAGAGAAAUUUGGAUUAAUACUUUAUGUUAUAUCAAUUUGGCAUCAAAUAGUUAUCAAAGAUUUAUUGCUAUAAGAUGGCUAUGCGUUCUAUUAGCUAGUUGGUAUGGUAACGGCAUACCAAGGCAACGAUAGAUAGGGGUCCUGAGAGGGAGAUCCCCCACACUGGUACUGAGACACGGACCAGACUCCUACGGGAGGCAGCAGUGAGGAAUAUUGGACAAUGGAGGGAACUCUGAUCCAGCCAUGCCGCGUGUAGGAAGACUGCCCUAUGGGUUGUAAACUACUUUUAUAGAGGAAGAAUCGAUUUUACGUGUAAAAUUUUGACGGUACUCUACGAAUAAGGAUCGGCUAACUCCGUGCCAGCAGCCGCGGUAAUACGGAGGAUCCAAGCGUUAUCCGGAAUCAUUGGGUUUAAAGGGUCCGUAGGCUGUUUUGUAAGUCAGUGGUGAAAGUUUUUGGCUCAACCAGAAAAUUGCCAUUGAUACUGCAAGGCUUGAAUAAUUGUGAAGUGGUUAGAAUAUGUAGUGUAGCGGUGAAAUGCAUAGAUAUUACAUAGAAUACCGAUUGCGAAGGCAGAUCACUAACAAUUGAUUGACGCUGAUGGACGAAAGCGUGGGUAGCGAACAGGAUUAGAUACCCUGGUAGUCCACGCCGUAAACGAUGGUUACUAGCUGUUUGGACGCAAGUUUAAGUGGCUAAGCGAAAGUGAUAAGUAACCCACCUGGGGAGUAC
rnacentral:rRNA from 1 species